CUACGGGCGGCUGCAGUGGGGAAUAUUGCACAAUGGGCGCAAGCCUGAUGCAGCCAUGCCGCGUGUAUGAAGAAGGCCUUCGGGUUGUAAAGUACUUUCAGCGGGGAGGAAGGGAGUAAAGUUAAUACCUUUGCUCAUUGACGUUACCCGCAGAAGAAGCACCGGCUAACUCCGUGCCAGCAGCCGCGGUAAUACGGAGGGUGCAAGCGUUAAUCGGGAUUACUGGGCGUAAAGCGCACGCAGGCGGUUUGUUAAGUCAGAUGUGAAAUCCCCGGGCUCAACCUGGGAACUGCAUCUGAUACUGGCAAGCUUGAGUCUCGUAGAGGGGGGUAGAAUUCCAGGUGUAGCGGUGAAAUGCGUAGAGAUCUGGAGGAAUACCGGUGGCGAAGGCGGCCCCCCUGGACGAAGACUGACGCUCAGGUGCGAAAGCGUGGGGAGCAAACAGGAUUAGAUACCCGAGUAGUC
rnacentral:rRNA from 1 species